UACGUAGGGUGCAAGCGUUGUCCGGAAUUAUUGGGCGUAAAGAGCUCGUAGGCGGUUUGUCGCGUCUGCUGUGAAAACUCAGGGCUUAACUCUGAGCUUGCAGUGGGUACGGGCAGACUAGAGUGCGGUAGGGGAGACUGGAAUUCCUGGUGUAGCGGUGAAAUGCGCAGAUAUCAGGAGGAACACCGGUGGCGAAGGCGGGUCUCUGGGCCGUAACUGACGCUGAGGAGCGAAAAGCAUGGGGAGCGAACAGG
rnacentral:rRNA from 1 species